rnacentral:rRNA from 1 species
UGGGGAAUUUUUGGACAAUGGGCGCAAGCCUGAUCCAGCCAUGCCGCGUGCGGGAAGAAGACCUUCGGGUUGUAAACCGCUUUGUCAGGGAAGAAAUCUUCUGAGUUAAUACCUCGGGAGGAUGACGGUACCUGAAGAAUAAGCACCGGCUAACUACGUGCCAGCAGCCGCGGUAAUACGUAGGGUGCAAGCGUUAAUCGGAAUACUGGGCGUAAAGCGUGCGCAGGCGGUUUUGUAAGACAGAGGUGAAAUCCCCGGGCUCAACCUGGGAACUGCCUUUGUGACUGCAAGGCUUGAGUGCGGCAGAGGGGGGAUGGAAUUCCGCGUGUAGCGUGAAAUGCGUAGAUAUGCGGAGGAACACCGAUGGCGAAGGCAAUCCCCCUGGGCCUGCACUGACGCUCAUGCACGAAAGCGUGGGGAGCAAACAGGAUUAGAUAGCCC